GGUCGAUUAGCUCAGUUGGUUAGAGCGUGGAGCUAAUAUGAUCACUCCAAGGUCGCGGGUUCGACCCCCUCAUUGACCA
rnacentral:tRNA from 1 species